UUCGAUAAGGCCGAGGGAGAGAGCCCGAGCGGCGGAGGAGGCGACGCGAUUCCAUGGCGAUUCUGAUCUUCCCCUCUCCUCGUGCUUGAUUUUUCCUCCGUGUUCCUUCGAUCCCGGCUCCCGUGGUACGUUGCUGCUGUCUCUGGUGGUUCCCCGUUUGAUUUUGCUCCUGUUGUGGUCAUGCUUUUUCAGAUCUAGGUGAAAUUCCUGUAUGUGGAUUCGGAUUUCGCAUGUUUCUGCUCGUGGUUCCCUGUAGCGGUUGUAGGUGAUGUUGUGUUGUUGUUGGUGGAUCUGUGGAAGGGGUGCUCAAGUCCGUCCUCUUCGUAGUUCGGCAAUUUCCCCUCUGCUCCCGCUCGAGUGAGUUGUGUUGGAGCUUGCAGCUGCGGGUUAUAGGCCGCCCCCCUGCUUGUAGUUGUGAUUUGUAGCCUUAGAUUGCUGCUGUAGGUGGUGGAUGUAGUCCUAGUGAUUGUUGUAGGGUUGAUUUCACUACGAAUUUUCUAGUUGGAGAUGCUCCAUCCUACCAUCUUGUAGGUGUGUCUGAAUUUCUUCAGAUCCUGUAGAAUUUCUUCCUCACCUGCUUGUAGUUGUUCUGGUAAUCAGUCAAACCGCCACCUAAUACAGGGUAUCCUGAUUACAAUGCCCAAUGCGUUACCUGUCACCAACCAAACGCCUCGUUAGUUGUUGUAGUUGCUUGUAGCUGCCUGUAGUGUUUGCCCAUGUGUUGUUCUAGGUUCUGUAGGGGUGGUAGUAACAUUUUGCUACAGUUCUCCCCUGUUUUUGUAGAUGUGGAUAUAGUUUACAUUUUUCUGCAGGUGGUAGAGGUAGUCACAGUGGUAGUUGGAGGGGUUGUAGUUGUUUCUCCUAGUAUUCGUCAUGACUGCCCUAUGGCUGGUGUCAUUGUGAAUUUGUUUUGCAACAGUCUGAAUUUGUUUUGUAGGGGUUGUUUGUUCAGUGUUCACAUGCAGUGUAAUUUAACCAGCAUUUUCACUGUUUUUACCACAUAAUGGUAGUGUAAUUUAACCAGCAUUUACCGUGUAAUCCGUCAUAGUUUCAGUUUUUCCAGUAUAAUGUGCCCUAGAAUAACUAUUUACAUUGUAAUCUAACCUUAUUUUUACUCUGUAAUUUAACCUUCUAAAUUCUCAGUGUAAAACAUGUCCCAAUUCUCAGUGUAAUUUUGUGCUAUAUUUACACUGUGAUUUUGUGCUAUUAUUGUUGUGUAAUUGUCCCGUAGUUUCAGUGUAAUACACAACUUAGUUUCAGUGUAAUCUUCACGAUAACUUCUGCAUAAUUGUCCCUUAGUUUCAUUGUAAUAUGCAACUUAGUUUCAUUGUAACUUAGUUUCUCUAUAACUUCAGUGUAAUUCACUGCAUAGUUUCAGUGUAAUUUUCACUAGAAUUACUGUGUAAUUUGACCAAUAGGUUGUUUGCAAUGUUCCAUCACAGUGUAAUUUGCGCCAAAGUUACAGUGUAAUUUUCAUUGUAACUACUGUGUAAUUUGUGCCAGAGUUUCAGUGAAAUUAUGAUGGCACUAUUACUGUGUAAUUUGUAGUGUACUUACACUGUAAUCUGUCCAUUUUCAGUUGAUUGCUUGUAGUGUAAUUCUUGUAGUGUAAUUACUGUGUAAUUUGUAUGUAGUCUGCCCAUUUUACAGUGUAAUUACUGCUAGAAUUGCUUUGUAUUUGUAGUGUAGUUACACCGUAAUGUGCCCCUUUUUUACAGAGUAAUUAUACUAUAACGGAUUUGCUAUUUUUCAGUCGACUGAUUUACAAGGCCAUCGUUCAAAUCUUUGUCCGUCCGUUGUCGCGCAGAGAUUCGCGCUCGAUCGCCCUGUCCUGUGUGGUUUUCGGGUUGGUUUUAUUUUUUUAGCCCGUUUGCGCUGCCCCGCCCCACCUGGACAGUUCACUGUUGGUUUUUAUCCCUGUGUAGUCCCCGUGUAGGAUUUCGCUGUAGUGGAAGUAGAUGCAACAAACCGCUGGAUCUAUGUGGAUGUUGGAGUGCUCAAUGUAGUUGUUCAGGUGUAAGUGUGCAAGUUGGUUGUCAGUGAGUUAUAGUGAUUGUGACUGGAUUUUUUCAGCUAAUCCACUCGACAUUAGAUGUGGUGCUGGUGUUUUUAGCAUUUUUGGAUGUGGGAUGCAUGUGUUUAGUUUGCUAGUUACCCUGGAUUUUACCUAGUAAUUCCAGUGUAUUUGUCACACCUUUUGAGUUGAUUUACAUUGUAUUUUUUAGUGUAUUUUUGAGUUGAUUCCCAUCAUUUUUCAGUGCCAAUGAUUCCAGUGUAAUCUAGUGUAUCUACAGUGUAAUUUAUCCCAGUUUUACAGUGAAUUUUCACCAACAACACCUUUUGAGUUGAUUUACAUUGUAUUUUUUAGUGUAUUUUUGAGUUGAUUCCUAUCAUUUUUCAGUGCCAAUGAUUCCAGUGUAAUCUAGUGUAUCUACAGUGUAAUUUAUCCCAGUUUUACAGUGAAUUUUCACCAACAACUCCAGUGUAUUUUACCCAAUAAUAGCGCUGUAAUUUGUCAUCGGAUUUAAAUGGACUGUAAUUUGAAUGUAAUUAUAGUGUACUACAGUGUAUUUGUCAUCGGAUUUUAAGUGGACUGUAAUUUGAUUGUAAUUACUGUAGUAUCUGACUUACAAUGUAAACUUAGUGUAGUUGCACUGUAACAUUAUUUCAUAGGGGAUUUACAGUGUAAUUUUCAGUUUAAUUGCACUGUAAGUAUUGAUAUCUGAUUUACAGUGUAAAUUCGGUGUAAUUCCACAGUAAUUAUGAGUGUACUCACAGUGACAAUUACGUCAGUGUAAUUACUCUGUAAUAUGUCCCAAUUC
rnacentral:lncRNA from 1 species